AGUUACCAGCACGUUAUGGUGGGCGACUCUAAGGAGGACUGCCGGUGCAAACCGGAGGAAGGUGGGGAGUGACGUCAAGUCAUCAUGGCCCUUACGGCCUGGGCUACACACGUGCUACAAUGGUCGGUACAAAGGGUUGCCAAGCCGCGAGGUGGAGCUAAUCCCAUAAAACCGAUCGUAGUCCGGAUCGCAGUCUGCAACUCGACUGCGUGAAGUCGGAAUCGCUAGUAAUCGUGAAUCAGAAUGUCACGGUGAAUACGUUCCCGGGCCUU
rnacentral:rRNA from 1 species